CCCUUAGAUGUCCUGGGCCGCACGCGCGCUACACUGAGUGUCUGAGAUACGAGUCUGCCUGGUCCGGCAAGGUUUAGGUAAUCGCUAAAAGACACAUCAUGCUUGGGAUAGAUUAUUGCAAAUAUUAAUCUUGAACGAGGAAUUCCUAGUAAGCGCAAGUCAACAGCUUGCGUUGAUUACGUCCCUGCCCUUUGUACACACCGCCCGUCGCUACUACUGAUUGGAUGUUUAAGCGAGGUUCUCGAACUGCUAGCGACUUAGCUUCGGUGAGGUCGCAGUGUGGGAAGUGAACCUAGCUUUGGUGUCUAGAGGAAGUAAAAGUCGUAACA
rnacentral:rRNA from 1 species